rnacentral:rRNA from 1 species
AGUCUGGUGCCAGCAGCCGCGGUAAUUCCAGCUCCAAUAGCGUAUAUUAAAGUUGUUGCAGUUAAAAAGCUCGUAGUUGAACCUUGGGCCUGGUUGGUCGGUCCGCCUCACCGCGUGCACUGGUCCGACCGGGUCUUUCCUUCUGGGGAGCCGCAUGCCCUUCACUGGGUGUGUCGGGGAACCAGGACUUUUACUUUGAAAAAAUUAGAGUGUUCAAAGCAGGCCUAUGCUCGAAUUCAUUAGCAUGGAAUAAUAGARUAGGACGUGYGGUCCUAUUUUGGUUGGUUUCUAGGACCGCCGUAAUGAUUAAUKAGGGMUAGUCGGGGGCAUCAGUAUUCAAUUGUCAGAGGUGAAAUUCUAGGAUKUAKUGAAGACUAMCUACUGCGAAAGCAUUUGCCAAGGAUGUUUUCAUUAAUCAGUGAACGAAAGUUAGGGGAUCGAAGACGAUCAGAUACCGUCGUAGUCUUAACCAUAAACUAUGCCGACUAGGGAUCGGGCGAUGUUAUCUUUUUGACUCGCUCGGCACCUUACGAGAAAUCAAAGUCUUUGGGUUCUGGG